CUGUCAAAAACCCCAAAAUAGCCCUGACCCGCUACAAUACGCACACAAUAAAAUGUUGUUCCAACUGUUUUUCUAAAUGUUCCAGAGGAAACAGGCCUUCUCUCUUGGGUCUGAUGAUUCAUCUAAUGGAGGUGGAGAAAGUUCUGACACAUCAGAAGAUGCACCAGAUGCAGCAGAGGAAACAGGCGGGUCUGAUGAUUCAUCUAAUGGAGGUGGAGAAAGUUCUGACACAUCAGAAGAUGCCCCAGUUGCAGCAGGUUUGUAUAUUUAUUGGAAUGCAUCUUAUCUCAGCCUUACUUUUGUUUUACUAUUCCAAAAACUGUAAAACAAAAGUAAGAUAUUAUCUACACUGCGGACUCGGUUUCUUGCGUUGUUCUAUACUUUUUAUUAGUUUUAAGAUUUCUUGUACAAUGACUUUAUGUAAUAUAGAGUGUACUGUAUAUAAAGAUAUGCCAAAUGACAUAAAUUAUCUGUACUUCUUAGUUUACAUUCUGCUAAUAUCUCUUCACUUUUGUAAUUUAUCUGCAUUGUGCAAUCAUUUUUAA
rnacentral:lncRNA from 1 species